UUAAACGUCCAAAGCGCAUUGAAUACAUAGGUUCUCGUCCGAUCACCGAAGUUAACCAACGUCGGACGCGGUCAGUACUUGGAUGGGUACACCGCGUGAUGUUGGCC
rnacentral:rRNA from 1 species